AUACUUCCCUGGCAGGGGAGAUACCAUGAUCAUGAAGGUUUCCCAGGGCGAGGGUUAUCCUUUGCACUCCAGAUGUGCUGACCCCUGUGAUUUCCCCAAAUGUGGGAAACUUGACUGCAUAAUUUGUGGUAGUGGGGGACUGUGUUCACACUCUCCCAGA